AAUAGAUACCCCGGUAGUCCACGCCGUAAACGAUGAGUGCUAAGUGUUAGAGGGUUUCCGCCCUUUAGUGCUGAAGUUAACGCAUUAAGCACUCCGCCUGGGGAGUACGGCCGCAAGGCUGAAACUCAAAGGAAUUGACGGGGGGCCCGCACAAGCGGUGGAGCAUGUGGUUUAAUUCGAAGCAACGCGAAGAACCUUACCAGGUCUUGACAUCCUCUGACAACCCUAGAGAUAGGACUUCUCCUUCGGGGAGCAGAGUGACAGGUGGUGCAUGGUUGUCGUCAGCUCGUGUCGUGAGAUGUUGGGUUAAGUCCCGCAACGAGCGCAACCCUUGAUCUUAGUUGCCAUCAUUUAGUUGGGCACUCUAAGGUGACUGCCGGUGACAAACCGGAGGAAGGUGGGGAUGACGUCAAAUCAUCAUGCCCCUUAUGACCUGGGCUACACACGUGCUACAAUGGACGGUACAAAGAGCUGCAAGACCGCGAGGUGGAGCUAAUCUCAUAAAACCGUUCUCAGUUCGGAUUGUAGG
rnacentral:rRNA from 1 species